GUGCCUUACCAUGAGCGUAGGGAAUUUUCUCUCAUUGGGUUUUGGGUGGAGGUUACCGUUGGGAGUCAUGAGUGUGUGGCAAAUUCUUGGCUCAUUCAUUUGGCAAUUUGGUGAGAAUCAGUUUGUGAGUUUGAGAGUUAGAGAACAAUUUGGGAGAAUCUCCUCCGUUUGAUUGCUUUGGGCUCUCUAUUUGUUUGGUUUAGGGUUUGUAUUUUGUGGGAUUUGGUUGUGAGAAUUUAAACACUCUUUUAUAAUCUCCGUUUGUUUAGUGAAAUUCCUCGCUAUGCUUCGCCUGUGGAAAUAGGACGCCGAACCACGUUAAUCUCUUGUGUUCUUAUUUUGAGAUUGUUUGUUUCUUCGCUUUUGCCUACGACGUCGAUAUUUGGUACUUUGUUUGAAUUCGCUUUCGCUUGCACAUAAAAGUACAACAUCAACAAAAAACAAAACAAAGAGAAAAUAAUGCAACAGUUAGUGGGUAAGGGUUUCAUAUAUUUGUUCUUUCUUUUGAGAAGGGAAACGGUUUCAUAUAUUUUUUCUUUCUUCUGAGAGGAAACGCAAAAAUCAUUGGCAGUCAGUUUCAACUCGUAGUUGAUUAACCCUGUUUUUUUAGUGUUUCAUGCAUUUGUAACCCUUAAUUAAAGAUGGAAGGACAACAUGUAGAUGCGUUAUGUUAUUGUAAAAGAAAAUCAGAAUGGUUGGGACAGGUUUUGAGGUUUCGUGGUAUUUCGUAGUGCAGUUUGGCAUGCCUUUGGGUUAGCUGUCUUUUAAGAAAUGUUUAUUUUUUAUUUUGGAUUCCUGACAAUAGAAAUGUUACUGUUGAAGUUCAUUCUUAAUAUAAGGCUCUUGUUUAAGUACAACAACAACAACAACAACAACAAAGCCUUUUCCCACUAAGUGGGGUCGGCUAUAUGAAUCCUAGAACGCCAUUGCGCUCGGUUUUGUGUCAUGUCCUCCGUUAGAUCCAAGUACUCUAAGUCUUUUCUUAGAGUCUCUUCCAAAGUUUUCCUAGGUCUUCCUCUACCCCUUCGGCCCUGAACCUCUGUCCCGUAGUCACAUCUUCGAACCGGAGCGUCAGUCGGCCUUCUUUGCACAUGUCCAAAUCACCAGAGCCGAUUUUCUCUCAUCUUUCCUACAAUUUCGGCUACUCCUACUUUACCUCGGAUAUCCUCAUUCCCAAUCUUAUCCUUUCUCGUGUGCCCACACAUCCCAUGAAGCAUCCUCAUCUCCGCUACACCCAUUUUGUGUACGUGUUGAUGCUUCACCACCCAACAUUCUCUGCCAUACACCAUCGCUGGCCUUAUUGUCGUCCUAUAAAAUUUUCCCUUGAGCUUCAGUGGCCUACGACGGUCACACAACACGCCGGAUGCACUCUUUCCAUCCAGCUCGUAUUCUAUGGUUGAGAUCUCCAUCUAAUUCUCCGUUCUCUUGCAAGAUAGAUCCUAGGUAACGAAAACGGUCGCUUUUUGUGAUCUUCGCUAGAUUGCUCCGGUCAUUAGUGUGGAUAAGUAUAUAAAUGGAUAGAGAUAGGAAAGCAAACACAAGAUGUACGUGGUUCACCCAGAUUGGCUACGUCCACGGAAUAGAAGAGUUCUCAUUAAUUGUGAAGGGUUUACACAAGUACAUAGGUUCAAGCUCUCCUUUAGUGAGUACGAGUGAAUGACCUCGUAAUCACGAAACUUCUAAGUAUCGGAGUGUGGUGUCGUCUUGACUUGCCUUAUCUGUCUCAUAGGUAGAUGUGGCAUCUUCUCUGGAAGUACUCUUCCUCCAUCCAGGGGUGGUAUCUUUAACUGGUGGAGAUGCACAAGGUAAUGUAUCAAUUUCACUUGAAGCUUACUUGUAGUUUCAGGCUUGGUCAAGCGCGAUACAAACCAUGUAGUAGGAGUCCCCCAAGUCGCCGAGCUAGGGGGUCUGCUGAAAGAGGUGACAGACAAGGUAAGCAAUCAGAGCUCCGACUGAUUGUUCACCUUCUCCCCAUCUUGCAGCAGCAUGAAGGAUAAAGAGAAGAAAAAAAUGAGAAGAGAUGAUAUGAGAUACUUUUGCUUUUGAAGAAGUAACUUUCCACAGGCUUAUUCUUGAACUGAGCUGGAGGGUUUUCUGGUUUCCUCCAGAGUAUAAGGCCGACUGAAGAAUUUGAGGGUCAAAACAAGUCCAUCAAAUCUAGAGUACGUUCCACCCUGCUGAUAUGGGAUACUUUUGCUUUUGACAGAGUAAUGGAUGUAUCGGCACGUGUGCUGUUACGCUUGUCUCCACAUGCUUCCUUGUAUAUCCUUCGCACUUGCCCUAUCUGUUCCUCAAGCAGAUGCGGAAUCUUCCCUGGAAACAUAAGAUGUUGAAGAUGAGUACUCGAGAGCAGCAAUGCCAGGUAAGUAAUCAGGUAAGGGGUUCCAGGUAGUCAGUUCCUGGCUGGAAGCUUGAUUCCAAGUGCUGACUGAUUGCUCUCUUUCUCCUUGUCUUGCAGGUAAAAAACAAGGCCAAAAGAAAAACAGGGAAAAAGCAUGAUAUGGGAUACUCUUGCUUUUAACCCUGAUGAUAUGAGAUAUUCUUGCUCUAGUAUAGCUUGUUUGCAGAGGUAUUAUCGGGGGGAAAGAAAGCUGAAUAUUUCGAAAGGCUUUGUUGGGAGUGCCCUCUCAGAUAUGAUGAAGGGUUGAGCAUUUUUGCAGGUCUGCCUGUCCGUUGGGGAUGGAGGUCGACAUAUAUAGGAGUCUCCCUAACAACAAGUAGUAAUGCUAUUCCUUUACCCUGCUUGGUCAUAGCACGGUAGUGGGAGCUGCCAGUUUCACAUGUUUUAACUCUGUCAGAGCACUUUGAAAAAGUGGUCUGUGGUAUCUGGCUCUCGAGAUUCGGAGAACAAUGCCUCUUCGAUUUUUGAGAAAGCAAUCAUGCUGGGGGUCUGACUCUCGAGAUUCGGAGAGCAGUGUCUCUUCGAUUUUUGAGGAAGUAAUCAUGUUGGGAGUCUGGCUCUCGAGAUUCGGAGGGCGGUGCCUCUUCGAUUUUGGAGCAAGCAAUCUUGUUAGGAGUGUUGUCUCGAAUGUGAGUAAAGGUUGGACAUGUUUGCUAGUCUAGUCUACCUUGCCACGAAGCACAAAGGUUGACACACAGGGACUUUCCAAUUAUCCAGCAAUGGUACUGUUCCUUUACCCUCUCUCUUCGAUUUUGAGAAAGUAGUCAUGUUGGGAGUCUGGCUCUCGAGAUUCGGAGGACGGUGCCUCUUCGAUUUUGGAGCAAGCAAUCUUGUUGGGACUGUUUUCUCGAAUGUGAGUAAAGGUUGGGCAUGUUUUGCUAGUCUACCUUGCCACGAAGCACAGAGGUUGACACACAGGGACUUUCCAAUUAUCCAGCAGUGGUACUGUUCCUUUACCCUUGUGGGUAAUAAUAUGGUAGCUAGACCUUCAAAAUUUAUGUGUCUAAACUUUGUUAGUGCUGUUUCUUUGCUAUUCUUUUACCUUUUUUUGGUCAGAGCGAUGUAGUGGGAGCUGCAAGCUUCACGUGCUCAACUUUGGCAGAGAACUUUGGCAAAGUGAUCUGUGGUACCCAUGAGUUAUUGUUGCGUGUGGGAAGUGGGUGAUUGAACAGUAAGAUUCAUGUGCUUUCUACUUCACCAGAAGUCUUCGACAGAAUGCCCAUAAUUUCUGCAAAGCUGAGUGUGCGUGUGACAGGUGCUGACAAGGCUAGAAAAGUAGGUGCCUCUUCGAUUUCUGAGAUCGGCCCUCGUGGUCUCUGAGCAGCCCAGCUUUUGAGAAAGCGAACGUCUCUUUCGAUUGAUUCGGAGAACGGUGCCUCACCGAUUUUUGAGAAAGCAAUCAUGCUGGGGGUCUGGCUCUCGAGAUUCGGGGAGCAGUGUCUCUUCGAUUUUUGAGAAAGUAAUCAUGUUGGGAGAGUGGCUCUCGAGAUUCGGAGGGCGGUGCCUCUUCGAUUUUGGAGCAAGCAAUCUUGUUGGGAGUGUUUUCUCGAAUGUGAGUAAAGGUUGGGCAUGUUUGCUAGUCUACCUUGCCACGAAGCACAGAGGUUGACACACAGAGACUUUCCAAUUAUCCAGCAAUGGUACUGUUCCUUUACCCUCUCUUCGAUUUUUAAGAAAGUAGUCAUGUUGGGAGUCUGGCUCUUUAGAUUCGGAGGACGGUGCCUCUUCGAUUUUGGAGCAAGCAAUCUUAUUGGGAGUGUUUUCUCGAAUGUGAGUAAAGGUUGGGCAUGUUUGCUAGUCUACCUUGCCACGAAGCACAGAGGUUGACAUACAUGGACUUUCCAAUUAUCCAGCAGUGGUACUGUUCCUUUACCCUUGUGGGUAAUAAUAUGGUAGCUAGACCUUCAAAAUUUAUGGGUCUAAACUUUGUUAGUGCUGUUUCUUUGCUAUUCUUUUACCCUUCUUGGUCAGAGCGAUGUAGUGGGAGCUGCAAGCUUCACGUGCUCAACUUUUGGCAGAGAACUUUGGCAAAGUUAUCUGUGGUACCCAUGAGCUAUUGUUGCGUGUGGGAAGUGGGUGAUUGAACAGUAAGAUUCAUGUGUUUUCUACUUCCCCAGAAGUCUUUGACAGAAUGCCCAUAAUUUCCGCAAAGCUGAGUGUGCGUGUGACAGGUGCUGACAAGGCUGGAAAAGUAGGUGCCUCUUCGAUUUCUGAGAUCGGCCCUCGUGGUCUCUAGGGAGCCCAGCUUUUGAGAAAGCGAGCGCCUCUUCGAUUUCUGAGAUCGGCCUUCGUGGUCUUUGAGCAGCCCAACUUUUGAGAAAGCAAACGGCUCUUCGAUUUCUGAGAUCAACCCUCGUGAUCUCUAAGCAGCCCAACUUUUGAGAAAGCAAACGCCUCUUCGAUUUCUGAGCAGGCGCCUCUUUGAUUUCUGAAGCUCCGUCGAGUGCAGAUUUUUAUAGGGGCUGGCAUUAAGUUCCAAAGCACACUUGAAUCUCCACCAGUAGAAGCUUCAUUCUUGCACUUCUAAGAUCUUGAUUUGUCCGACCUCUUCUCUCUUCAACACCUUUGAAAAUGUCUGGCCCCCUCCGACCGUCGUUUUGACUUGAACCUUGUUGAAGAGGCAGCCCCGCCUUCUCCAGACAACAUAUGGCGCCCAUCCUUCGUCUCCCCAACUGGUCCUCUUACCGUUGGGGAUUCCGUGAUGAAGAAUGAUAUGACCGCUGCGGUGGUGGCCAGGAACCUUCUCACUCCCAAAGAUAACAGAGACUACUUUCCAAACGGUCUGAUGAGUUAGCUGUUAAGGAUUCGCUGGCUCUCAGUGUUCAGUGUGCAGGUUCUGUGUCUAAUAUGGCCCAACGCCUAUUUGCUCGAACCCGCCAAGUUGAAUCAUUGGCGGCUGAAGUGAUGAGUCUCAAACAGGAGAUUAGAGGGCUCAAGCAUGAGAAUAAACAGUUGCACCGGCUCGCACAUGACUAUGCUACAAACAUGAAGAGGAAGCUUGACCAGAUGAAGGAAACUGAUGGUCAGGUUUUACUUGAUCAUCAGAGAUUUGUGGGUUUGUUCCAAAGGCAUUUAUUGCCUUCGUCUUCUGGGGCUGUACCGCGUAAUGAAGCUCCAAAUGAUCAACCUCUGAUGCCUCCUCCUUCUAGGGUUCUGUCCAGUACUGAGGCUCCAAAUGAUCCCCCUCCGGUGCCUUCUCUUUCUGGGGCUCUACCGACUGCUGAGACUUCUCCUAAGCAACCUUUGUGAAGGCUCCCUCUUGUGUGUUUUAUUUUGACUCAUGUAUAUGUACAUAUUUGUAGCUUAUCGGGGAUAUCAAUAAAUAAGCUUUCCUUCAUUUCAACGUAUUGUGUUAAAUACACCAAAGCCUUCUUCGCUAAGUUCUUUGAAUUUUCUUUUGUUGAAGCUUGUAUGUUGAAGCUUUCUGAGUGGAGCAUGUAGGUUGGGGUAGUGUUCCCUUAAUUUCCCGAGUGAGGAAAACUUCUUGGUUGGAGACUUGGAAAAUCCAAGUCACUGAGUGGGAUCGGCUAUAUGAAUCUUAGAACGCCAUUGUGCUCGAUCCUGUGUCAUGUCCUUCGUUAGAUCCAAGUACUCUAAGUCUUUUUCUUAGAGUCUCUUCCAAAGUUUUCCUAGGUCUUCCUCUACCCCUUCGGCCCU
rnacentral:lncRNA from 1 species